AGUUUUAUUAUCCGAGAUUAGCAUGGUUGGGCGGUUAACCGAGUGCUGUUUGACAACACUAGUAAAAAUGACACGUGGUGAUAACGGACAGUGUUUAUAAUCAAAAGCCCGAAAGAAAAAAAAAACAAAACAGGUGCAUAGCAGACACGGGACUCUAAGAAAUUAGAGGUAGGAUCAGGUGCCAUGGAGUAAGCAUUCUCUGCUGACCAGUCAGACUCGCCGUGUGCUCUUUGUCGUAAUCGGGGAAAACGGGAAAAUCCGUUGACAAUUAAGUGAUACAUUUUGGUCUAACAAUAAAUGUCAGCAUGCGACGCAGAGGAAGACUGCAUUUGCUGACAAGGUCGUUGUAUCGACCGUAGAACUGACAAAAAGCUGACUUUUAUCGCGACUGUUGAUAGUCCCGUUUUAUCAACUUAUUUGUCAGUAUCUUGCUUCGCUUUAAAAACUGUUCAUACGAAGAGCAUGCCCUUGUGCAUCGAAUCAACUGUGACAAAAACUACAUGUAUCUGCAUAAAACUAAACUGGAAGAUUUAUAAAACCGAUUUAAAAUGAAUUCAUCUUUUUUACAGGACACAAUGCAAUACAUCUUUUGAGAGGGGCGGUGUGAGGGAAAGUUUAAUAUCUGAGAUUGGUAUUUAAAUGAAUCGAAUAAAUAUAGUCUUUGAUAACCAUCAAAGUGAGUUUGUGAUAAAAACACGAUGAUAAUGCUGUUAAAUGGCGGUUCAAAUCAUAAUACAUUUUGAUAUAUUAACAUAUUAAACAAUUAAUGUAUCCAU
rnacentral:sRNA from 1 species